UUGUCACAAAAAAAAAAAAAACAAUUUAAUUAUUUACAAAAAUUGUUCAAGGAAUUUUUUGUUUCCCAAGAAUAAAAAGACGUCCCCGACCCAAAAACAAAACCAACACAAUUCCUUGACAUUCAUUUGGAAUCCCUACAUGAAAUUGGACCUUGGAACCUAAAGAAGCAGAGCUAUAGAGCAUCGCCGACAAGAAGAUGUCUUAAAACGUUACAGCUCAAAGAAGGAAUCGAUUUGCAAACAUAGCUGAGACUGCGCUCGCUAAAGAAAGAUUUCAGAAUGAAGGCUAGAUAGCUUUAGAAGGUAACUCACUUGUGAAGCUCUUCAAUAGGAAAAUGCGAUCACGAAAAAGUUUGAACCCCCCAAACCAGACCUCAAUUGAAGACUUUUCAAGCUCUCCAGAGAAGACAUCAGUACAGAUGAAAAGAUGCCAGCAAAAGGAGAGAUCUCAGAACAAGAAAGCAAUUGUGUUGGGGAGAACUCAUGGAGUCAACCGCUUUACAAUGAAUUUGCGGUACGCUUCCCGAAUCCAUAUCAAAUCACAAGGCAAAUCACGAGAGCUGGAGUCAAGAUCAUUACUUUCGCCCUCAGGAUUUAAGUUCAUCUGUUGAAACAAAAAAUUUCCCCUUGCGAGCAACGGAAGAACCGUCACACUUCCAUCAACAUCAAAGCGAAAGAACGAGAAGUUAUCACAAAAGUGCCUCCCAAAAAGAACUUCCAGUGCACCCACUGCAACACACACUUCCCACUGCUUAAAGAGAAGAACGCACAUAUGAUUAAACAACACGGUUAUUAUAAGCGUGUUAACCGUCGACCGAUGCGUGACCCACCGACAUCAACUUUAACCACAGCAACUCUGAAUGCAGUUGAUCCCGCUGCUGGAGCUGCUCCUUUGUUACUCGGCUUGGAUGGACUUGCACCACCAUCCCUGCCAACUGGCGAAGAAGAUGAAGACUCCAAAGCGACAAUUGUUAAAAUCGAAAAAGAAAACCAAGAUUGCAAGAAUAAAAAUCUAUCGAACUUGGCCAUAAGUAGCAACAAAGUAACAUCUUCGUCAACAGCGGCGACAAAUUGUGUGCAUCACGCACCAAAUAUGACUCGAUGAGGCCACCAGAUAAUCAAAUGCUUAUCAAUUUCAAUUUGAGUGCACUGAAUGUAAAAAAUGAAGGCGAAUUUUGCUGCUUUGUAUGCAAGCGGGACUUUCUUAUUGUUAAGCUUUUUGAUUAGCAUUUUGUUGAGCAUGAGCAUCCCACCGAAUGUUUUACAUGACACAAGAAAUUCACCAGAUGGAAAAACUUUAUGGUCCAUUUGAAGCGACAUUUGGGUUGGAAGGAUUUCUCAUGUACAUAAUGUGAAAAGAAAUUUGUUAUACGUAGCGCUCUGGUGGAACACAUACGAAUGCAUACCGGCCAGACACCAUUGAAAUGUAAAAUUUGUGGCAAGAGCUUCAAACGUUAUUCGAAUAUGGUUUAAAAUAAGAACUGUGAGUGAGAAUGUAAACAAAAUGGAUAGUAGCUGCGUUCCUUUGGAAAUAUUUAUCUACUUUUUAGUACUUAAAGCUGCUUUGAACUACUUUUUCAGUAUAGCAAAGUAGAUCAAAGUAGUUUUAAGUACUAAAAAGUAGAUAAAUAUUUCCAAAGGAACGCAGCUAGUGUUUGAAUAAUUUUUUUUGUGGUCUUAGUUUUUUAUAUCUUGUAAACCCAAAGACUUAAUGAAAAAUAAAAUGGAAUAUUUGGAAAAUUCUGUGAUUAU